rnacentral:lncRNA from 1 species
CAAAUGAAACGAGAAGCACGUAGAGCCCUUAGCUGAAAAAACUGAGCCUCGGAACAGUUAAGUAAAUCCACCAAAGUGACCCACUACUGAAUAGCAGAGUCAGGAAUCCAGAGACUGUUCUUUUCACCACAAUGCUUUGUGGCCUUCCUAAUAAAAGCAAGAGACUGACACUGGCAGAGACAAGAUUUUAGAGUGGGAAAAGUAAUCCAGAAUUCUCAGAGUGCUGCAUAAAUUUUGCUUUACGAAAAGUUUUCAAAUCCACAUUUGUUACAGUCUGUGGCAAUUGAAUAUGAUAGGAAAGACUGUGUUCCAGAAGACCUUGACGUGGUUUUGGAUCAGGCAUUUACUGGAUAAUUAACCAACCACUCAGUUGUUCUGAGCUUUAGUGCCCUGGUAACAUGGGAAUGAGGAUAAAUAAUGUAUUAACCAACCCCGUGAGGAGAAUCAAAGACAACUCUAUCCUAGUAUUUCAUUCGAGGAAGGAGAUUGGAAAAUAUUAUGCUCUUGAAAACUGAUAGAAAG